CCCCAACGCCAGGGAAUUACGAGCCCAGCUUAAAACCCAAAGGACUUGACGUGUCCCACCCAACUAGAGGAGCCUGUUCUAUAAUCGAUAAUCCCCGAUUUACCUAACCCCAUUUUGCCACUCAGUCUGUAUACCUCCGUCGCAAGCUUACCAUAUGAAUGACUACAGUAAGUCUAAUGAUCUUAACACCAACACGUCAGGUCAAGGUGCAGCUUAUAAUAGGGAAAGAAAUGGGCUACAAUUUCUAAAAUAGAACAUACGAAAUGCUACAUGAAACACAGCAUGAAGGCGGAUUUAGUAGUA
rnacentral:rRNA from 1 species